rnacentral:rRNA from 1 species
AGGACGAACGCUGGUGGCGUGCUUAACACAUGCAAGUCGAACGGGCGAUUGAAAGCUUGCUUUGAUGAGCCUAGUGGCAAACGGGUGAGUAACGCGUAGGCAACCUGCCCUCAGGAUGGGGACAACGGCCCGAAAGGACCGCUAAUACCGAAUGACGUAUCGGGAUCGCAUGAUACUGAUACCAAAGGCGGAGCAAUCCGUCACCUGAGGAUGGGCCUGCGUCUGAUUAGGUAGUUGGUGAGGUAACGGCCCACCAAGCCGACGAUCAGUAGCCGGUCUGAGAGGAUGAACGGCCACAUUGGGACUGAGACACGGCCCAGACUCCUACGGGAGGCAGCAGUGGGGAAUCUUCCGCAAUGGGCGAAAGCCUGACGGAGCAACGCCGCGUGAGUGAAAGAAGGUCUUCGGAUCGUAAAGCUCUGUUGUCGGGGACGAAGGGGCAGAUCAGGAAAUGGGUCUGCUUAGACGGUACCUGACGAGGAAGCCACGGCUAACUACGUGCCAGCAGCGGC